rnacentral:rRNA from 1 species
CCUACGGGUGGCAGCAGUGAGGAAUAUUGGUCAAUGGACGAGAGUCUGAACCAGCCAAGUAGCGUGAAGGAUGACUGCCCUAUGGGUUGUAAACUUCUUUUAUAAAGGAAUAAAACGAGGCACGUGUGCCUUUUUGCAUGUCCUUUAUGAAUAAGGAUCGGCUAACUCCGUGCCAGCAGCCGCGGUAAUCCGGAGGAUCCGAGCGUUAUCCGGAUUUAUUGGGUUUAAAGGGAGCGUAGAUGGGUUGUUAAGUCAGUUGGGAAAGUUUGCGGCUAAACCGUAAAAUUGCAAUUGAUACUGGCAGGCUUGAGUACAGAUGAGGUAGGCGGAAUGCGUGGUGUAGCGGUGAAAUGCUUAGAUAUCACGAAGAACCCCGAUUGCGAAGGCAGCUUACUAAUCUGUGACUGACGUUGGUGCACGAAAGUGUGGGUAUCAAACAGGAUUAGAUACCCUAGUAGUC